GACGAACGCUGGCGGCGUGCCUAAUACAUGCAAGUCGAGCGAACAGACGAGGAGCUUGCUCCUCUGUUGUUAGCGGCGGACGGGUGAGUAACACGUGGAUAACCUACCUAUAAGACUGGGAUAACUUCGGGAAACCGGAGCUAAUACCGGAUAACAUGUUGAACCGCAUGGUUCAAGAGUGAAAGACGGUCUUGCUGUCACUUAUAGAUGGAUCCGCGCCGCAUUAGCUAGUUGGUAAGGUAACGGCGUACCAAGGCAACGAUGCGUAGCCGACCUGAGAGGGUGAUCGGCCACCCUGGAACUGAGACACGGUCCAGACUCCUAAGGGAGGCAGCAGUAGGGAAUCUUCCGCAAUGGGCGAAAGCCUGACGGAGCAACGCCGCGUGAGUGAAGAAGGUCUUCGGAUCGUAAAACUCUGUUAUUAGGGAAGAACAAAUGUGUAAGUAACUAUGCACGUCUUGACGGUACCUAAUCAGAAAGCCACGGCUAACUACGUG
rnacentral:rRNA from 1 species